rnacentral:rRNA from 1 species
UACGUAGGGUCCGAGCGUUGUCCGGAGUUACUGGGCGUAAAGGGUGUGUAGGCGGUCCCCUAAGUUUGGUGUGAAAUCUCCCGGCUCAACUGGGAGGGUGCGCCGAAAACUGGAGGGCUAGAGUACUGGAUGGGAGAGUGGAAUUCCUGGUGUAGCGGUGAAAUGCGCAGAUAUCAGGAGGAACACCAGCGGCGAAGGCGGCGCUCUGGGCUGGAACUGACGCUGAGGAGCGAAAGCGUGGGGAGCGAACAGG